rnacentral:rRNA from 1 species
CGGCGGACGGGUGAGUAACGCGUGGGUAACCUGCCUCAUACAGGGGGAUAACAGUUGGAAACGGCUGCUAAUACCGCAUAAGCGCACAGUACCGCAUGGUACCGUGUGAAAAACUCCAGUGGUAUGAGAUGGACCCGCGUCUGAUUAGCUAGUUGGUGGGGUAACGGCCUACCAAGGCGACGAUCAGUAGCCGACCUGAGAGGGUGACCGGCCACAUUGGGACUGAGACACGGCCCAA